CUCUUAAUUCAAUUGCUAUUGAUUUGCCUAAAACGCUACAAAAACAUUGUUAGGUUAGGAAUGCUUCUUACUGGUCACAUGGUAUUUAAAUUGUAACGGUUUGUAGCUUAAAUGUCAAUUUAAAUAUAUAUUUAUUUUUCAAAUGAAAUCCAGCUCCAUUCAUGAGGGUAGUAUCCAGUCAAUAUUGUAUGUAUGGUGAAGUGAGGCUAUUAGUUUGAAUUCCAAACGUGUAAAUUGAGUCGAUUCACUGGAUUCGCACAAACCUGAAUAAACCCAUAUCGUGGUACGUCACUAGUUAUGAAAAAACUAUAAGAAUCCUUCUCGGAUCUGAAGCGAGUACGAGCAUACUCUGAUCACCUUAUAUCCAGCAAGUUACAAAAGUUUGCACAAUUAUUUUACGUAAGAGUAGGUACUAAUAUUAUUAACAAAACAUUCAAUAAAAUGAAUAUGAGUACAUUCUCAUUUUAGAGAUAUAAACAGUUGAAGUCUCGUAAACUCUCGUAACUAUUACGAUAAAGAAGAGAUGAAUAAGCGUAUGCUAUUAUCCUACCUUCUAGGAGUCUCAUAUUAUUAGGCUGGUUGAACAUGUUAUUACUAACGGUUGAGAACAUGCAUGAUGCACAUACAAAUACACAUCACAUUCACAUACACAUAUACACAUACACAGCAUGUUAAUCGUCAGCGAGAGGCUUCUAACAUGAAAUAAACAACCAAUAACAAUAAAAACACCACUGGAAAAUUACAAAUGAUAUUGAUAGAAGAAUAAUUUAACCUCAAAUAAAAAAUAAGCGAAUAAAAAAUGAGCUAAAAGUCGGAGAUGUAAGAACCUCAAAAAAUGUUUCUUGAUGCGUUUCGCUUUGAUCACAGCUGUGAUGAUACAAGAAUGUAUGACGACUGUGUAUCAGGCAUGUUCCACCGUUAGUGGCCAGCCUAAGUGGAUUGAAAUAGCCAAUAAUACGGGAAGUGUGAUGAUACAGGUUCUGAUAUAAUUCUCCAUCAAUAUAAUCGUCGUUGAGUUGAGGCUCAAAGCCAAUAUUGUAUUGUCAAUCAAUAUUGCAGAGCCAAUCAUUGUCAGGAAGCUCCCUCUAAAAAUAUCACAAGUGAUAAGUCUUUUAGGUGCAUUGCAAACAAGGAUUUCUGACAUAAUAGGUGGUUGACCUUGACAUCGUAUUUAGUUUUCAGUCUCAUGUGUGAGUUGUUAAUAAAUUAGUUACA